rnacentral:rRNA from 1 species
GAUGAACGCUAGCUACAGGCUUAACACAUGCAAGUCGAGGGGUAACGAGAGGAAAGCUUGCUUUCCUUGUCGACGACCGGCGCACGGGUGAGUAACGCGUAUCCAACCUGCCCCCAACUAAGGAAUAACCUUGCGAAAGUAAGACUAAUACCUUAUAAUUUCCUCAGAUGUCAUCUGACGAGGAAUAAAGAUUUAUCGGUUGUGGGGGGGGAUGCGUCUGAUUAGCUUGUUGGCGGGGUAACGGCCCACCAAGGCAACGAUCAGUAGGGGUUCUGGGAGGAAGGUCCCCCACAUUGGAACUGGGACACGGUCCAAACUCCUACGGGAGGCAGCAGUGAGGAAUAUUGGUCAAUGGUCGGAAGCCUGAACCAGCCAAGUAGCGUGCAGGAUGACGGCCCUAUGGGUUGUAAACUGCUUUUAUACAGGAAUAAAGUUAGCCACGUGUGGUUAUUUGUAGGUACUGUAUGAAUAAGGACCGGCUAAUUCCGUGCCAGCCGCCGCGGUAA